rnacentral:rRNA from 1 species
CUACGGGGGGCUGCAGUGGGGAAUAUUGCGCAAUGGAGGAAACUCUGACGCAGCCAUGCCGCGUGUGUGAAGAAGGCCUUCGGGUUGUAAAGCACUUUCGACGGGGAAGAUGAUGACGGUACCCGUAGAAGAAGCUCCGGCUAACUUCGUGCCAGCAGCCGCGGUAAUACGAAGGGAGCAAGCGUUGUUCGGAAUUACUGGGCGUAAAGGGCGUGUAGGCGGAUGUAUCAGUCAGGGGUGAAAGCCAUGGGCUCAACCUGUGAACUGCCUUUGAUACUGUGCAUCUAGAGAUUGUGAGAGGAUAGCGGAAUACCCAGUGUAGAGGUGAAAUUCGUAGAUAUUGGGUAGAACACCAGUGGCGAAGGCGGCUAUCUGGCACAAUACUGACACUGAGGUGCGAAAGCGUGGGGAGCAAACAGGAUUAGAUACCCCCGUAGUC